CGAACCGUGCGAACGUUGUUCGGAAUCACUGGGCUUAAAGGGCGCGUAGGCGGCUUGCCAAGUCAGGGGUGAAAUCCUGCAGCUUAACUGUAGAAGGGCCUUUGAUACUGGCGAGCUCGAGGGAGGUAGGGGUAUGUGGAACUUCCGGUGGAGCGGUGAAAUGCGUUGAUAUCGGAAGGAACGCCGGUGGCGAAAGCGACGUACUGGACCUCUUCUGACGCUGAGGCGCGAAAGCUAGGGGAGCAAACGGG
rnacentral:rRNA from 1 species